rnacentral:misc_RNA from 1 species
UGGGCUUGACAUGUUCCUGACAGCCGUGGAAACACGGUUUCCCUUCGGGGCGCUUUCACAGGUGGUGCAUGGCUGUCGUCAGCUCGUGUCGUGAGAUGUUGGGUUAAGUCCCGCAACGAGCGCAACCCCCGUCGCAUGUUGCCAGCAUUCAGUUGGGGACUCAUGCGAGACUGCCGGCGACAAACCGGAGGAAGGUGGGGAUGACGU